rnacentral:rRNA from 1 species
GACGAACGCUGGCGGCGUGCUUAACACAUGCAAGUCGAACGGAAAGGCCCUGCUUUUGUGGGGUGCUCGAGUGGCGAACGGGUGAGUAACACGUGAGUAACCUGCCCUUGACUUUGGGAUAAUUUCAGGAAACUGGGGCUAAUACCGGAUAGGAGCUCCUGCUGCAUGGUGGGGGUUGGAAAGUUUCGGCGGUUGGGGAUGGACUCGCGGCUUAUCAGCUUGUUGGUGGGGUAGUGGCUUACCAAGGCUUUGACGGGUAGCCGACCUGAGAGGGUGACCGGCCACAUUGGGACUGAGAUACGGCCCAGACUCCUACGGGAGGCAGCAGUGGGGAAUAUUGCACAAUGGGCGGAAGCCUGAUGCAGCAACGCCGCGUGCGGGAUGACGGCCUUCGGGUUGUAAACCGCUUUCGCCUGUGACGAAGCGUGAGUGACGGUAAUGGGUAAAGAAGCACCGGCUAACUACGUGCCAGCAGCCGCGGUGAUACGUAGGGUGCGAGCGUUGUCCGGAUUUAUUGGGCGUAAAGGGCUCGUAGGUGGUUGAUCGCGUCGGAAGUGUAAUCUUGGGGCUUAACCCUGAGCGUGCUUUCGAUACGGGUUGACUUGAGGAAGGUAGGGGAGAAUGGAAUUCCUGGUGGAGCGGUGGAAUGCGCAGAUAUCAGGAGGAACACCAGUGGCGAAGGCGGUUCUCUGGGCCUUUCCUGACGCUGAGGAGCGAAAGCGUGGGGAGCGAACAGGCUUAGAUACCCUGGUAGUCCACGCUGUAAACGGUGGGUACUAGGUGUGGGGUCCAUUCCACGGGUUCCGUGCCGUAGCUAACGCUUUAAGUACCCCGCCUGGGGAGUACGGCCGCAAGGCUAAAACUCAAAGGAAUUGACGGGGCCCCGCACAAGCGGCGGAGCAUGCGGAUUAAUUCGAUGCAACGCGUAGAACCUUACCUGGGUUUGACAUGGAUCGGGAGUGCUCAGAGAUGGGUGUGCCUCUUUUGGGGUCGGUUCACAGGUGGUGCAUGGCUGUCGUCAGCUCGUGUCGUGAGAUGUUGGGUUAAGUCCCGCAACGAGCGCAACCCUUGUUCACUGUUGCCAGCACGUUAUGGUGGGGACUCAGUGGAGACCGCCGGGGUCAACUCGGAGGAAGGUAGGGAUGACGUCAAGUCAUCAUGCCCCUUAUGUCCAGGGCUUCACGCAUGCUACAAUGGCUGGUACAGAGAGUGGCGAGCCUGUGAGGGUGAGCGAAUCUCGGAAAGCCGGUCUCAGUUCGGAUUGGGGUCUGCAACUCGACCUCAUGAAGUCGGAGUCGCUAGUAAUCGCAGAUCAGCAACGCUGCGGUGAAUACGUUCCCGGGGCU